rnacentral:rRNA from 1 species
CCUACGGGCGGCAGCAGUGGGGAAUAUUGGACAAUGGGGGGAACCCUGAUCCAGCCAUGCCGCGUGUGUGAAGAAGGCCCUCGGGUUGUAAAGCACUUUCAGUGAGGAAGAACGCCUGGUGGUUAAUACCCAUCAGGAAAGACAUCACUCACAGAAGAAGCACCGGCUAACUCCGUGCCAGCAGCCGCGGUAAUACGGAGGGUGCGAGCGUUAAUCAGAAUUACUGGGCGUAAAGCGCGCGUAGGUGGCUUGAUAAGCCGGUUGUGAAAGCCCCGGGCUCAACCUGGGAACGGCAUCCGGAGCUGUCAUGCUAGAGUGCAGGAGAGGAAGGUGGAAUUCCCGGUGUAGCGGUGAAAUGCGUAGAGAUCGGGAGGAAUACCAGUGGCGAAGGCGGCCUUCUGGACUGAAACUGACACUGAGGUGCGAAAGCGUGGGUAGCAAACAGGAUUAGAUACCCGGGUAGUC